rnacentral:rRNA from 1 species
GAUGAACGCUGGCGGCGUGCCUAAUACAUGCCAGUCGAGCGAACGGACGAGAAGCUUGCUUCUCUGAUGUUAGCGGCGGACGGGUGAGUAACACGUGGAUAACCUACCUAUAAGACUGGGAUAACUUCGGGAAACCGUAGCUAAUACCGGAUAAUAUUUUGAACCGCAUGGUUCAAAAGUGAAAGACGGUCUUGCUGUCACUUAUAGAUGGAUCCGCGCUGCAUUAGCUAGUUGGUAAGGUAACGGCUUACCAAGGCAACGAUGCAUAGCCGACCUGAGAGGGUGAUCGGCCACACUGGAACUGAGACACGGUCCAGACUCCUACGGGAGGCAGCAGUAGGGAAUCUUCCGCAAUGGGCGAAAGCCUGACGGAGCAACGCCGCGUGAGUGAUGAAGGUCUUCGGGUCGUAAAACUCUGUUAUUAGGGAAGAACAUAUGUGUAAGUAACUGUGCACAUCUUGACGGUACCUAAUCAGAAAGCCACGGCUAACUACGUG